rnacentral:tRNA from 1 species
GGCUCUGGUAGAGCAUGGCGCUUGCAACGCCAGGGUUGUGGGUUCGAUUCCCAC